rnacentral:rRNA from 1 species
GAUGAACGCUGGCGGCGUGCCUAAUACAUGCGAGUCGAGCGAACGGACGAGAAGCUUGCUUCUCUGAUGUUAGCGGCGGACGGGUGAGUAACACGUGGAUAACCUACCUAUAAGACUGGGAUAACUUCGGGAAACCGUAGCUAAUACCGGAUAAUAUUUUGAACCGCAUGGUUCAAAAGUGAAAGACGGUCAUGCUGUCACUUAUAGAUGGAUCCGCGCUGCAUUAGCUAGUUGGUAAGGUAACGGCUUACCAAGGCAACGAUGCAUAGCCGACCUGAGAGGGUGAUCGGCCACACUGGAACUGAGACACGGUCCAGACUCCUACGGGAGGCAGCAGUAGGGAAUCUUCCGCAAUGGGCGAAAGCCUGACGGAGCAACGCCGCGUGAGUGAUGAAGGUCUUCGGAUCGUAAAACUCUGUUAUUAGGGAAGAACAUAUGUGUAAGUAACUGUGCACAUCUUGACGGUACCUAAUCAGAAAGCCACGGCUAACUACGU